UCCGUAGGUGAACCUGCGGAAGGAUUAG
rnacentral:rRNA from 1 species